rnacentral:lncRNA from 1 species
CGAGAUCACAAAGAUAUGGAAACCUAGAAAUAGAUUGCCAACAAAUAAAAAGAUGCGUUCAGAUAGGUCUAAUUUGUGUGAAUCCGGAUCGCACCAAAAGACCUCCAGCAAGAAACAUUAUCAAUAUGCUCCAAGGAUCAGGAAGUAUUGUUUGAUGUUGGAAACGAUGUAACAUCAUGGGCAAGCCAGGUAUGAUCACUUAAAGAUUACAAAGAUUGACAAUGUAGUUGCUCGUUCUUUUGUUUCCCUUUUCAAAAGCAAUAAUCAGUCACACCCAUUGAAAAGUACACAUCACAUCGUAUCCCAGUAUUUUGUAUCAAGUAUCUGAUUACAUUGUGUUUUUCUCUGAUAUAUAUGCAGUGUGUGAGUUGUAUCUUCAAUGACCCUGACCCGAUGCAGAUCAUUGAAUGGACUGGAGAAUGGGACCAACAUGACUAUACUGUGCAUGUUUUUUUUACCAUGUAAAAGUAUGUUACAAGGGGGGAGAUGUAAAAAGAAGAACAGAGAAAUGGAGACAAAGCUUGAAAGAGUGCGAAAUUAGCCUAUGCCAGUUUUUGCAGAUUAUUCAUCUCUAGCUUCAUUGUAUGUCUCCAGUUGAAUUUCGUGGGUUGAAUGGCCCUGAAAACCUUUCCAUUUCGCUGAAUCCAAAUGCUCCAACAGCCCAGCAUGAUGACUUCCAUGGCUGCUUUAAGAUGCAGUUGCUUCAAUGCCAGUUGAAUAUCCUCGAAGGUUGAGGUGCUUCUUUUCCUAUGUGAAAGUAAUGAAUUCCAACA